GGGAGCUUUUGAAUGCUGCGAAGAGAGAAGACGCCGGUUUUCAUCGAAGUUUUUGUUAAACCCUGGAAAUCAACGCCACAAUUAAUGCCCCUCCCCAGAAAGAACCGCACCGGCAGCAACCCCGUCAGUUCAGUCUUCAGCACACGACGCAACAAAGUCACCCAACCUACCUUAGACCUUCAGCACCGCAGGCAAUAUCGACACCUCGGACUCAUGAUGUGGUCAAUUCCACGCUGGUGUAACAAGCCAUUAAGCCUCAGGCAUGUGCACUGGCUCUUCAUGAGCCCAGUCUCUUAAACAUCUCACCCAUAGAUUGUGUCAGCUGAUGGUAUUGUACAAAUUGCAACAUGAUCAGAGAAAUAGUAGUGGCAAGUUACACUGAGUGAGAGGAGGUAGUGUGAAAUCACUGGUGCCAAGGUGGGCUGAUGUGGACUACCAUACCUCCUAACGUGGACAAGUAAUACACUACUUACCCGAAAUGAACCAUGUUGUAUUUGUUCUGUUACACCCAUACAUAAUUCGUUAGUUCCAUUGGAAGAAAUUCAUUGGAAUUCCAUGGAACAUCCCUCCCAUGAAAUGCGUAUAUACUGUCAUUCUUGAAGGUUGCAGUGUGGUACCACUAGCAACCCGACUUGCAUGUGCAAUUGUUGCAUAGCUCAGGGUUUCAGAGCUAAUUAUGGGGUACUUCUGUCCUGGUAGCACUGACUGGUUUACGUGCCUCAUGCGUGUGCCGUGUGUGCAGGGUAGCUGCUUUUGCUUCCCAGACAAACCUAUGCAAGUAUGAAUAAUGCUUUAAGCUUCACUUGUUGUUACUGUACUACCGCCUAUUGUCCAAAAGACUAGUCCAUGACCCAAAGUGCUAAAAGCACAGCAACUAAAGAACUACAUCACUGCAACUGGAGGUCUGUGUUGAUGUGGGUGCUCUUGCAGACCAUUUCUUGAUAGCGCAACACCAGUGUGAACAUUUUGUCAAGGGGAAGAUUGCAGAAGUGCAAUAACAAGUGAAUUUCAGUACACACAAAUUGAAUAAAUAUUGUCUUGCAUUAGGAGUAUAUAAUCAGCUGUCCGGUGUAUCUGUAGGUGAGGUGUUUAUACAAAGUAAAUAUUGACUGUUCUAACGUGUGGUACAGUAAAAAGAGUUUCACUUAGUGAUCCGUGGAGUGCUAUAUUUUCCCUCCACUCUUCCUUGAGAAUAUACUUACAAUAUGGUAUGGAUCACCUUGCAAUGGUAUCGUUUGAUUGUACCACUCAUUGCAGUCAAUAUUAGCAUACAUUGUACUUAAAAGGCAGUGGUGUAGUCAAGUACAUUUCCAUGAGUACGAAAUGUACUGGAGUAUGAGUAUGAGUACUGCAACACUGCUAGAAGGCAUAUGAAGUGUGACUCAUGAGAAUGUGGAGGUGCACAUUGAUCUAUGCAAGACAAAGCUUUGCUUACUGCAUUUAUUCUAGCUUUAUAUGAACAUCUUCCAUAUGCCCAGUGACAUCUGAAACAUUUUUGUCAUUGACCUGACCAAUCACAUUGCUUUAUGACUAUAACAAUGAACAAGUAAGGGCGUUGUUUUCUUCUCUUGCUUUUGCAAAGUUUAAGGAAAACAAGACAAGUCCCUGCAUGCUUGAUUGAUGCGGCAUGAUUGUCAACAUCUGACAUGGUUUCUGCACAUCCACGUACUCUGGUUCAUAUUUAACUUAUGUAACUUCUUGGAAGCUUCCAUCCUAUUGUUCAUUUGUGUCUCGGUAAACAGUCAAAAUGUGGUAUUAAGCGCAUUCAGUUUUGCUGUUGAACCACUGUUAUUAACACAUUGAACCCAACUUUUUCAACAACUCAGAAUAUAGUAUAGGUAGAUUUUUCUUUAGGACAUUAAUAUCCAUGAUAUAUAUACGUAUAUAUUUUUAAGAAGGGGCUGAAGUCCAGCACUUUUUGAGUGAGAAAGCUAGAAUUGUUUUGCUUGUAUCCUAUUGUGUAUAGCUAUCCCGAGAUAAGUUGUGUCUAGUUUCUGUGCUGUUAUAGUUUGGUUUUCGUAUAUGGCACAUGAUGUAGGGUUUGAUAUUUACUUUGCUAGCUUGUGAUUUGCAACUUUGCCACAAACAUUUAAGAUAAAUAUAAAGAUCAUAAAAUGAUCACUUUUUUGUUAUUAAUUUCAUUAAUCAGAAAUACAGGUGGAAUGUAGGUUAGCUAUACACAUCAAUCAUAUUGACAAAUAUGUUGGUUUGUAUAAAAAAAAAAGGCCUCCUGUUUAAACGAUAUACUUAAAGUCUUUAUUAGUUUAAUUGUGUUGGACAAUAUAUUUCAAAUGAUGUUUAUUAUAUAAAAAAGUGAUCACAUAGGGAAAUGGUUUCAGUAAAUUAUGUUUAAAAGAAAUCAUUUCUGCUAUGCAAAAUGUAAAAAAAAGGUUUAAAUAUUGUAUGGUUUUACUUGUUUAUGUAUAUUCAUUUACUUUUACAAAAUUGUGCAAUUUAUGAAUUAAUAACUGAGCUUUCAGACAUUUGAGAUGGAAAAAGUCAACAUUGAUACUAAAGGACCUAAGACAAGAAAUGGGAAAAUGGGGGGGGGGGGCGGAGCGUUUGUUGAAUUCUUUAUUUCAGUUAUGCUGGUAGCUUUAUUUAUUUGACAUGGUCCUACAGAAACUGCAAUUGUUGCAAUAAAGUAGUCCAAGUUAUUCUUUUGCUAACUGCGAAAACUGUAAACUAAUGAAUGUACACAUGUUUUUGUGAGAAUAGAUGUGGUUUAUUGUAACAAUGUAUGGUUAUAUUUUGUACAAAUUAUCCUACUUCCCAUGCAUGGAUGCUGUGAUUAUGUUCAGUAAUUUAGUUGUUUUAAGUCUAUUUUCUUCGGUCAAGAUAGAGGUUCUGAGUACAAACAAUGUGCUUUUUAAAAAUGAACGAGUGAUUGUUUGAAUUAUUGUCUGGUACAAUUUAUGUUGCACAUUGUGACUUGCUUUUCACAGAGUGCAUGUACAUGUAAUAUAUGAAUUCUGUAACGUAUGUACUACUAGUAUGUUAUGUCCAGUGGCCCUAAGAGUGAAAUAACAUUAUGUGAGACUUGCA
rnacentral:lncRNA from 1 species